UACAGAGGGUGCGAGCGUUGUCCGGAAUCAUUGGGCGUAAAGGGCGCGUAGGUGGCGGGACAAGCGUGCGGUGAAAGCUCGGGGCUCAACCCCGAGUCGGCCGUGCGAACUGUUUUGCUUGAGCACUGUAGAGGCAGGCGGAAUUCCGGGUGUAGCGGUGGAAUGCGUAGAGAUCCGGAAGAACACCGGUGGCGAAGGCGGCCUGCUGGGCAGUAGCUGACACUGAGGCGCGACAGCGUGGGGAGCAAACAGG
rnacentral:rRNA from 1 species